GACAGGCGGGACAGGAACAGCGCCGUGGGUGCCACUCGAGACACAGGGUGGGCGGGGCCAGCCAGGCCCGGAGCUGGCUGCCACCGGCUGCGGCAGGAGGGAGCUGGCUGCCGCCAUUUCAGUGGAGGGUGGCGACAACCCCAGUCUGGAGGGGGCUGAGACCUGUGCUGGGGGCCGCCCGGGGUAGAUCCUGUCUUGAAGAGUUCAAAGCCAUUGUCUGCACUUGGCCCCAUGGCCUCUGAGCUCAGAGUUCACCCCUCAUGGAGCUGGAAGGGACGGUUUCUAGAGAGGCCUCCAUGCUUGGACCAGGAUGAAAAUCCUUCACCAUCUUCAAUGCAACAAGCUGUUCACAG
rnacentral:lncRNA from 1 species